rfam:Beta vulgaris subsp. vulgaris Bvchr9.sca026.con0212.1, whole genome shotgun sequence.
GUCUGUAGGUGGCUUUUUAAGUCCGCCGUCUAAUCCCAGGGAUCGACCAUGGACAUUUGGUGGAAACUAUCAAGUUGGAGUAUGGUAGGGGCAAAGGGAAUUUCCGGUGGGGUGGUGAAAUGCGUAGAGAUCGGAAAGAACACCAACGGUGAAAGCACUUUGCUGGGUUGACACUGGUAGACGAAAGCUAGGGGAGCAAAUGGGAUUAGAUACCCCAAUAGUCCUAGCCGUAAAAGAUGGAUACUAGGCGUAUCGACCCGUGCAGUGUUGUAGCUAACACGUUUU